rnacentral:rRNA from 1 species
GCGUAACGCGUGGGAAUCUGCCCAACAGUACAGAAUAACCAAGGGAAACUUUGGCUAAUACCGCAUACGCCCUUCGGGGGAAAGAUUUAUCGCUGAUGGAUGGGCCCGCGUCGGAUUAGCUAGUUGGUGGGGUAACGGCCUACCAAGGCUACGAUCCGUAGCUGGUCUGAGAGGACGACCAGCCACACUGGGACUGAGACACGGCCCAGACUCCUACGGGAGGCAGCAGUGGGGAAUAUUGGACAAUGGGGGAAACCCUGAUCCAGCAAUGCCGCGUGAGUGAUGAAGGCCUUAGGGUUGUAA